rnacentral:tRNA from 1 species
GCCCAGGUGGCGGAACAGGUAGACGCACAGGACUUAAAAUCCUGCGGUAGCGAUACCAUACCGGUUCAAUUCCGGUCCCGGGCACCA